GACGAACGCUGGCGGCGUGCUUAACACAUGCAAGUCGAACGGAAAGGCCCUGCUUUUGUGGGGUGCUCGAGUGGCGAACGGGUGAGUAACACGUGAGUAACCUGCCCUUGACUUUGGGAUAACUUCAGGAAACUGGGGCUAAUACCGGAUAGGAGCUCCUGCUGCAUGGUGGGGGUUGGAAAGUUUCGGCGGUUGGGGAUGGACUCGCGGCUUAUCAGCUUGUUGGUGGGGUAGUGGCUUACCAAGGCUUUGACGGGUAGCCGGCCUGAGAGGGUGACGGGCCACAUUGGGACUGAGAUACGGCCCAGACUCCUACGGGAGGCAGCAGUGGGGAAUAUUGCACAAUGGGCGGAAGCCUGAUGCAGCAACGCCGCGUGCGGGAUGACGGCCUUCGGGUUGUAAACCGCUUUCGCCUGUGACGAAGCGUGAGUGACGGUAAUGGGUAAAGAAGCACCGGCUAACUACGUG
rnacentral:rRNA from 1 species